GACGAACGCUGGCGGCGUGCUUAACACAUGCAAGUCGAACGGGAAGGCCCUGCUUUUGUGGGGUGCUCGAGUGGCGAACGGGUGAGUAACACGUGAGUAACCUGCCCUUGACUUUGGGAUAACUUCAGGAAACUGGGGCUAAUACCGGAUAGGAGCUCCUGCUGCAUGGUGGGGGUUGGAAAGUUUCGGCGGUUGGGGAUGGACUCGCGGCUUAUCAGCUUGUUGGUGGGGUAGUGGCUUACCAAGGCUUUGACGGGUAGCCGGCCUGAGAGGGUGACCGGCCACAUUGGGACUGAGAUACGGCCCAGACUCCUACGGGAGGCAGCAGUGGGAAAUAUUGCACAAUGGGCGGAAGCCUGAUGCAGCAACGCCGCGUGCGGGAUGACGGCCUUCGGGUUGUAAACCGCUUUCGCCUGUGACGAAGCGUGAGUGACGGUAAUGGGUAAAGAAGCACCGGCUAACUACGUG
rnacentral:rRNA from 1 species